GCUCCAACCGAGAAGGUCCAGUCUGUGGAAAAUUUAUAAAUAAAUUUAUUAAAAUAACCUUACCUACGGACUUUUCAUAGUAGGCUUUGGAUCGAAAGUGACAACAGAUUUUAAGUAAAGGAAAGGAAAUAUUUCAGUUCUAUGUACACUCCCUGCUGAGAAGGUUGCAAGACGAACCAAAUUUUAAUCUUAAAAUUCCUGCGACAAAACAUUCGUUUAUUCAAACAACCAAGUAGGCUUUGCAUUGUGCGUGACAACGGCUUUCCUCUAAAACUAAUUUUCAGUUUUAUUCGAGAGUUUUGCGACCAAAUUAUUGUAAAAAUCGUUUCCCUCGCAGUUGCGCUCGCCGACUCCCGCGAAGAGGACGUAUCAAGGAUGCUUCGUUUUUGCAGGAGUCGGCCGGCGCACUUGUUAGGGGAACGAUUUGGAGAAGGAGGCGCCGCCCAAGGAGUCUAUCGGUCUUUGCAUAGACCUCUAGUCGUACACGAUCAUCCAAGUAUACCAGGAUAUCGCCAAUUACUAACAUCGAAGGCGGUAUAAGCGAUUCGAAGGCAAUUGAUUCAAUAAUGCUGGUCCCUGAUCUAUGUGCGGAUCACCUUUCCCACCAUCAUGCUGAUAUUGCUGCUCUACUGGACUCUGUACUCACCUUAUUUAAAUAACCUUACCUACGGACUUUUCAUAUUCUAUGUACACUUCCUGCUGAGAAGGUUGCAAGCCGAACCAAAUUUUAAUCUUGAAAUUCCUGCGACAACAUUCGUUAAUUCAAACAACCAAUUUUAUUCAAACAUUCAACAAAGAAGGGUCCGAAAGUUUUGCGACUAAAUUAUUGUUCAUUCGCCUUGAUCAUCUCGUUGUACAAAUCGUUUCCCUCGCAGUUGCGCUCGCCGACUCCCGCGAAGAGGACGUAUCAAGGAUGCUUCGUUUUUGCAGGAGUCGGCCGGCGCACUUGUUAGGGGAACGAUUUGGAGAAGGAGACGCCGUCCAAGGAAUCUAUCGGUCUUUGGACAGACGGGAUACCUCUAGUCAUACACGAUCAUCCAGGAUAUCAAAAACUACUACCAACGAAGGCGGUAUAAGUAAUUCGAAGGCAAUUGAUUAAAUAAUGAAAACACUCACCUGGUCACCAUGAACUUAUUGGAAUCUGCGGUACACUCUUCGCGAUGCAGAUACUUGUUGAUCCCAAUCAUGUGGCGCCGCACAUAGUCGUCGUAGUCCAGCUCCUCCAGGUUCCAAUAGAGCGUGGGAUACGUGCCAUUGGAAAUCAUCUCCUUAAAAUAGAAGCGGCUGCUGUUCUUGAAGAUCCACUCGUUCAGCGAGAAAAAGCUACCUACAAGCCUGUCUGAACUUCCUGGCAAUGGGUGUAACCAGCCGCUUUUUUUGGGCCAACAGAAGGGUUUGCAGAUCCAUAAGCAAGGCGGGCACAAAGUGGAGGAUCCAGACGGCCAACUCGUGCUUGAGGGCACUGCAUCUGUACUUGAAGUUCGGGAACAUAAUCAUCCGUCUUGUGGGAUAGAUUCUGGACCACUUCAUGGUUAGCUCCCCCAGACGCUGCCAGGUGAUGGGAUUGGUCACUCCCGAAGUGGCGUUACAGAUGCUCAAGCUAAAAAUAAGUUUAUUAAAAUAAAA